UCUCUCUCUCUCUCUCUCUCUCUCUCUCUCUCUCUCUCUCUCUCUCUCUCUCUCUCUCUCUCUCUCUCUCUCUCUCUCUCUCUCUCUCUCUCUCUCUCUCUCUCUCUCUCUCUCUCUCUCUCUCUCUCUCUCUCUCUCUCUCUCUCUCUCUCUCUCUCUCUCUCUCUCUCUCUCUCUCAAACACGAUAAGGUGUUUAAUACUUCGUUUUUUGUUUUCCUUCUUAAAUUACUAUAAUAUGCUACAUGAUUCACUUGAUUUAAUAAAUAAAUUGUAUAUUAUUAUUGAUUCCUUCUCAAGAUCAUACGCUGCAAAGUAGUAGCAAUCAGCCAAUGUGAAACACUGUCACCUCCUCUUCCGCUGUUGGGAACCACCAUUGACGGAACCCUAGACGUCGUUUAUAUUGUUGAUUCCUUACCAUCGCUCGACUGAGUGCCUUCAUCCGUUCUAAUCGGCAUCUCUCACUGCCACCGUCGAACUUGGAUCUGUACCACCAUCGAAGAAGGAUAGAGAUGAAGAUCGAGGUUGCCACCAUCUUCGGAUCUGGAAAGACGAAGCUUCGUCUUUUCAAACCCACAAACACUGCUUUGACUUUUCUGGGUUUUGAAGUUCUUAAAAGCUUCGAUGAACGCACAAUCAAAGAUUGGAGGUUCUGAAAGCUUCGAUCUUUGAUUUUUUUUUUAUUCAUUGACUGGAUUUAGUUUAAAGUUAAAUCAACUUUGAGUCUAGUUUAUAGGUUCAAAGCGGGUUAACUAAGUUUAAAGAAAUCGAAGGUCGAUUUCUGAGUUGUUCACCCUCGAUUUGUAGGUGUCUAUAUUAAUCAUUUUAUGUGUGUAUAUGUUGAAGAAGAUGAACACAUAAAAGCAUUCGUUUUAUGUGGAGUUUUACAGAUUGAUUCAAAAGAUGGAAAACUUGAUUCCUUCAAGAACAAAAGGAUUUUCAGGAA